rnacentral:rRNA from 1 species
GACGAACGCUGGCGGCGUGCUUAACACAUGCAAGUCGAACGGAAAGGCCCUGCUUUUGUGGGGUGCUCGAGUGGCGAACGGGUGAGUAACACGUGAGUAACCUGCCCUUGACUUUGGGAUAACUUCAGGAAACUGGGGCUAAUACCGGAUAGGAGCUCCUGCUGCAUGGUGGGGGUUGGAAAGUUUCGGCGGUUGGGGAUGGACUCGCGGCUUAUCAGCUUGUUGGUGGGGUAGUGGCUUACCAAGGCUUUGACGGGUAGCCUGCCUGAGAGGGUGACCGGCCACAUUGGGCCUGAGAUACGGACCAGACUCCUACGGGAGGCAGCAGGGGAGAAUAUGGCACAAUGGGCGGAAGCCUGAUGCAGCAACGCCGCGUGCGGGAUGACGGCCUUCGGGUUGUAAACCGAUUUCGCCUGUGACGAAGCGUGAGUGACGGUAAUGGGUAAAGAAGCACCGGCUAACUACGUG